UCCGGAGGGGGCUAGCGUUGUUCGGAAUUACUGGGCGUAAAGCGCACGUAGGCGGCUUUGUAAGUUAGAGGUGAAAGCCCGGAGCUCAACUCCGGAACUGCCUUUAAGACUGCAUCGCUUGAACGUCGGAGAGGUAAGUGGAAUUCCGAGUGUAGAGGUGAAAUUCGUAGAUAUUCGGAAGAACACCAGUGGCGAAGGCGACUUACUGGACGACUGUUGACGCUGAGGUGCGAAAGCGUGGGGAGCAAACAGG
rnacentral:rRNA from 1 species